UGGGGAAUAUUGCACAAUGGGCGCAAGCCUGAUGCAGCCAUGCCGCGUGUAUGAAGAAGGCCUUCGGGUUGUAAAGUACUUUCAGCGAGGAGGAAGGCGUUGUGGUUAAUAACCGCAACGAUUGACGUUACUCGCAGAAGAAGCACCGGCUAACUCCGUGCCAGCAGCCGCGGUAAUACGGAGGGUGCAAGCGUUAAUCGGAAUUACUGGGCGUAAAGCGCACGCAGGCGGUCUGUCAAGUCGGAUGUGAAAUCCCCGGGCUCAACCUGGGAACUGCAUCCGAAACUGGCAGGCUAGAGUCUUGUAGAGGGGGGUAGAAUUCCAGGUGUAGCGGUGAAUUGCGUAGAGAUCUGGAGGAAUACCGGUGGCGAAGGCGGCCCCCUGGACAAAGACUGACGCUCAGGUGCGAAAGCGUGGGGAGCAAACA
rnacentral:rRNA from 1 species